AGUCAAUAGAUACCCUGGUAGUCCAUGCCGUAAACGAUGAUUGCUAGGUGUGGGGGGUCUGACCCCUUCCGUGCCGGAGUUAAACACAAUAAGCAAUCCACCUGGGGAGUACGGCCGCAAGGUUGAAACUCAAAGGAAUUGACGGGGGCCCGCACAAGCAGUGGAGUAUGUGGUUUAAAUUCGAAGCAACGCGAAGAACCUUACCAGGUCUUGACAUCCACCGAAUCCUGUAGAGAUACGGGAGUGCCCUUCGGGGAACGGUGAGACAGGUGGUGCAUGGUUGUCGUCAGCUCGUGUCGUGAGAUGUUGGGUUAAGUCCCGCAGCGAGCGCAACCCUUGUGAAUAGUUGCUACGAAAGAGCACUCUAUUCAGACCGCCGUUGACAAAACGGAGGAAGGUGGGGAUGACGUCAAAUCAUCAUGCCCCUUAUGACCUGGGCUACACACGUACUACAAUGGCCGUUAACAGAGGGAUGCAAUGCCGCGAGGUGAGCGAACCCCUAAAAACGGUCUCAGUUCAGAUUGCAGGCUGAAACUCG
rnacentral:rRNA from 1 species